AGACCGUGGUGUGGACAGCAUCUCAACAAGUCUUUGUACCUCUCCCAGGCAACAUACAUGCUCUCAUCUUCCAUCUGCACAAAGAAGAAGUGUCAUUCCUCAGUUU
rnacentral:snoRNA from 1 species